rnacentral:rRNA from 1 species
AAUCAACGCUGGCGGCGUGCCUCAGACAUGCAAGUCGAACGCGAAAUUUCCCUUCGGGGAGAAAGUAGAGUGGCGCACGGGUGAGUAACACGUAGGUAAUUUGCCUUCGGGUGGGGAAUAACAGCCGGAAACGGACUGCUAAUACCGCAUAAUGCAGCGGCUCGACAUCGAGACAGUUGUUAAAGCGGGGAUCGCAAGACCUCGCGCCUGAAGAGAAGCCUGCGGCAGAUUAGCUAGUUGGUAGGGUAAUGGCCUACCAAGGCAACGAUCUGUAGCCGGCCUGAGAGGGCGGUCGGCCACACUGACACUGACA